UCGUUAAACUAACUACUGUGGAUGCAGUAACUGUUGUAAGUCAGUACAAAUAGUGAACAACGA
rnacentral:ribozyme from 2 species